UACGUAGGUGGCGAGCGUUGUCCGGAAUUAUUGGGCGUAAAGGGCGCGUAGGCGGCGGCUUAAGUCAGAUGUGAAAACCCAGGGCUCAACUCUGGGCGUGCAUUUGAAACUGGGUUGCUAGAGUGCAGGAGAGGAAAGUGGAAUUCCUAGUGUAGCGGUGAAAUGCGUAGAGAUUAGGAGGAACACCAGUGGCGAAGGCGACUUUCUGGACUGUAACUGACGCUGAGGCGCGAAAGCGUGGGGAGCAAACAGG
rnacentral:rRNA from 1 species